CCUAUGCUGAGUUGCAGGUCACAGUUCACGCCUGGGUUCUGUAGGGAGGGUUCAGUCUUUCCCGCUGUGGAGGGAGGGGAAGAGGGUUCAAGAUGGAGUCCGAUGCACACGGUGGAGGAGCCACCAGGGCAACCAAUGAAGACCCAGGAGCCAUAGAAUUUGCAGUGGGCACAGCACGGGGCAGCCACAGUGAGCCGAGUGGUGCUGGUGGCCAGGAUAACUCUAGAGACCUAGCUUGCCCUGGUGACGCCAUCAGUCGUGGAGUUCAUGGAGGUGCAGGUGACCUAGCUGGUCCCAGAGGCCCCAGCCCUGCAGGAGAGCCAGGUGGUGCAGCUGGUGCCAUUCUGCAGAUCUCGGGGCCACCUCACGCUCCAGGGCCUAGUGGAGAUGCUGCACCUGGAGCCGCAGUUCUGAGUAACCGAGACCUCCGGUUAAGCCUCACUGUGCCUUUCUCAUCACACGCGGAAGCUGACAUUGCCCGCCACUUCCUGACUCCACGUACUCAACUGCGAGGGCCCAUUCGAAAGGAGCUAUAUGUUAAUGACCGCAUGCUGGUUCUCCGAUUGACUGCUGAAGACCCUGGCCUGCUCCAGAGGUCCAUCGCUUUCUGCCUGGAGCAGCUUUCCCUGGUGAUGCAGUCCUUGCAGCCCUUUGGAGCCCCCGUUUCUCAGCAUGGAAGAGGGGUUUAAACCUAGCCUAUGUGCCCUAGCUUCAAGUGUCCUUCCCCAGGGCAUUGCUUUCUGCAGUACUUUGAUCGGGCUUCAUCUUAUGUCUGUGCUGCUGCUUGGGGCUCAGUGUCCAUAUUGUUUGUUUGGUGAUUGUUAACUGCAGAAAAUAAAACUGAGCUAUUAUGCUGUCUCUGAC
ensembl:lncRNA